rnacentral:rRNA from 1 species
UAAUACGGGAUAAUUCUUUCCCUCACAUGAGGGAAAACUGAAAGAUGGUUUCGGCUAUCACUUACAGAUGGGCCCGCGGCGCAUUAGCUAGUUGGUGAGGUAACGGCUCACCAAGGCAACGAUGCGUAGCCGACCUGAGAGGGUGAUCGGCCACACUGGGACUGAGACACGGCCCAGACUCCUACGGGAGGCAGCAGUAGGGAAUCUUCCGCAAUGGACGAAAGUCUGACGGAGCAACGCCGCGUGAGUGAUGAAGGUUUUCGGAUCGUAAAACUCUGUUGUUAGGGAAGAACAAGUACCGGAGUAACUGCCGGUACCUUGACGGUACCUAACCAGAAAGCCACGGCUAACUACGUGCCAGCAGCCGCGGUAAUACGUAGGUGGCAAGCGUUGUCCGGAAUUAUUGGGCGU